rnacentral:miRNA from 1 species
CCAGUCCCAGCAGACAAAAC